rnacentral:rRNA from 1 species
AGUAACGCGUAUGCAAUCUACCUUGUACUGGGGCAUAACUCCGAGAAAUCGGUGCUAAUUCCCCAUAAAACCACAGAGUGGCAUCACUUAAUGGUUAAAGCUCAGGCGGUACGAGAUGAGCAUGCGCCCAAUUAGCUAGUUGGUGAGGUAACAGCUCACCAAGGCUACGAUUGGUAGGGGUUCUGAGAGGAUGAUCCCCCACACUGGUACUGAGACACGGACCAGACUCCUACGGGAGGCAGCAGUGAGGAAUAUUGCGCAAUGGAGGCAACUCUGACGCAGCCAUGCCGCGUGAAGGAUGAAGGUCCUAUGGAUUGUAAACUUCUUUUGUACGGGAAUAAACGCUUCUACGUGUAGAAGCCUGAAGGUACCGUAAGAAUAAGCACCGGCUAACUCCGUGCCAGCAGCCGCGGUAAUACGGAGGGUGCAAGCGUUAUCCGGAUUUAUUGGGUUUAAAGGGUCCGUAGGCGGACCGUUAAGUCAGUGGUGAAAGCCCACAGCUCAACUGUGGAAUUGCCAUUGAUACUGGCGGUCUUGAGUACAUGUGAAGUUGGCGGAAUGUGUGGUGUAGCGGUGAAAUGCUUAGAUAUCACACAGAACACCGAUUGCGAAGGCAGCUGGCUAACAUGUAACUGACGCUGAGGGACGAAAGUGUGGGGAUCAAACAGGAUUAGAUACCCUGGUAGUCCACACCGUAAACGAUGAUUACUAGAUUUUGGCCGCAAGGUCAGAGUCCAAGCGAAAGUGUUUAGUAAUCCACCUGGGGAGUACGUCCGCAAGGAUGAAACUCAAAGGAAUUGACGGGGGCCCGCACAAGCGGUGGAGCAUGUGGUUUAAUUCGAUG